rnacentral:rRNA from 1 species
CGAACGCUGGCGGCGUGCUUAACACAUGCAAGUCGAACGGAGAACUUUCUUCGGAAUGUUCUUAGUGGCGAACGGGUGAGUAACGCGUAGGCAACCUGCCCUCUGGUUGGGGACAACAUUCCGAAAGGGAUGCUAAUACCGAAUGAGAUCCUCUUUCCGCAUGGAGAGAGGAUGAAAGAUGGCCUCUACUUGUAAGCUAUCGCCAGAAGAUGGGCCUGCGUCUGAUUAGCUAGUAGGUGAGGUAACGGCUCACCUAGGCGAUGAUCAGUAGCCGGUCUGAGAGGAUGAACGGCCACAUUGGGACUGAGACACGGCCCAAACUCCUACGGGAGGCAGCAGUGGGGAAUCUUCCGCAAUGGACGAAAGUCUGACGGAGCAACGCCGCGUGAGUGAUGAAGGCCUUCGGGUUGUAAAACUCUGUUGUCAGGGACGAAAGCACCGAUCUAUAAUACAUUUUGGUGUUGACGGUACCUGACGAGGAAGCCACGGCUAACUACGUG